AUAUCAAUAAGCGGAGGAAAAGAAACCAACAGGGAUUGCCCCAGUAACGGCGAGUGAAGCGGCAACAGCUCAAAUUUGAAAUCUGGCCCCCAGGGUCCGAGUUGUAAUUUGCAGAGGAUGCUUUUGGCGAGGUGCCUUCCGAGUUCCCUGGAACGGGACGCCAUAGAGGGUGAGAGCCCCGUCUGGUUGGACGCCGAGCCUCUGUAAAGCUCCUUCGACGAGUCGAGUAGUUUGGGAAUGCUGCUCUAAAUGGGAGGUAUAUGUCUUCUAAAGCUAAAUAUUGGCCAGAGACCGAUAGCGCACAAGUA
rnacentral:rRNA from 1 species